rnacentral:rRNA from 1 species
AACGAACGCUGGCGGCAGGCUUAACACAUGCAAGUCGAGCGCAUCCUUCGGGGUGAGCGGCGGACGGGUUAGUAACGCGUGGGAACGUGCCCUCUUCUACGGAAUAGCCCAGGGACACUUGGAUUAAUGCCGUAUACGCGCUUCGGGGGAAAGUUUAUCGGCGGGGGAUCGGCCCGCGUUGGGUUAGGUAGUUGGGGGGGUAAUGGCCAACCAAGCCGACGAUCCAUAGCUGGUUUGAGGGGAUGAUCAGCAACACUGGGACUGAGACACGGCCCAGACUCCUACGGGAGGCAGCAGUGGGGAAUCUUGGACAAUGGGGGCAACCCUGAUCCAGCCAUGCCGCGUGAUCGAUGAAGGCCUUAGGGUUGUAAAGAUCUUUCAGCUGGGAAGAUAAUGACGGUACCAGCAGAAGAAGCCCCGGCUAACUCCGUGCCAGCAGCCGCCGUAAAAC